CAAAACAGAAAAUGGAAAAGAAACAAAUGGAAACAUAGAAGGAGAAACAAAUAAGUCAUCAGAGGAGAAAGACGGGUACGCGAAUGAAAUGGAAGGCGAGAUGACAAAUGGAGAAGAAACAAAUGACAAUAUGGAAUGUGAAGAACCAUUGCCAAUUGUAGCUAAUAAUGUGGAUGCUGAGAUAGUUAAACCGAGUAUAUCCAAAGAAGCGGCUACCAAAUCGUCGGAGGAUAGCCCAAAAAAAAGAAGUUACGAAUGAAGCUCGCACAAUAUAAGGUGCAAAAUAAAGCCCUCAGAGAAAAA